rnacentral:rRNA from 1 species
CUGAUCCAGCAAUGCCGCGUGAGUGAAGAAGGCCUUCGGGUUGUAAAGCUCUUUUGUCAGGGAAGAAACAGCAGCUCUACACAGUCUGCGAAUGACGGUACCUGAAGAAUAAGCACCGGCUAACUACGUGCCAGCAGCCGCGGUAAUACGUAGGGUGCAAGCGUUAAUCGGAAUUACUGGGCGUAAAGCGUGCGCAGGCGGUUAUGUAAGACAGGCGUGAAAUCCCCGGGCUUAACCUGGGAAUUGCGCUUGUGACUGCAUAGCUAGAGUAUGUCAGAGGGGGGUAGAAUUCCACGUGUAGCAGUGAAAUGCGUAGAGAUGUGGAGGAAUACCAAUGGCGAAGGCAGCCCCCUGGGAUAAUACCGACGCUCAUGCACGAAAGCGUGGGGAGCAAACAGGAUUAGAUACCCUGGUAGUCCACGCCCUAAACGAUGCUGACUAGUUGUUCGGGAAUUUAUUCCUGAGUAACGUAGCUAACGCGUGAAGUCAGCCGCCUGGGGAGUACGGUCGCAAGAUUAAAACUCAAAGGAAUUGACGGGGACCCGCACAAGCGGUGGAUGAUGUGGAUUAAUUCGAUGCAACGCGAAAAACCUUACCUACCCUUGACAUGCCACUAACGAAGUAGAGAUACAUUAGGUGCCCGUAAGGGAAAGUGGACACAGGUGCUGCAUGGCUGUCGUCAGCUCGUGUCGUGAGAUGUUGGGUUAAGUCCCGCAACGAGCGCAACCCUUGUCUUUAGUUGCUACGCAAGAGCACUCUAAAGAGACUGCCGGUGACAAACCGGAGGAAGGUGGGGAUGACGUCAAGUCCUCAUGGCCCUUAUGGGUAGGGCUUCACACGUCAUACAAUGGUGCAUACAGAGGGUUGCCAACCCGCGAGGGGGAGCUAAUCUCAGAAAAUGCAUCGUAGUCCGGAUCGUAGUCUGCAACUCGACUACGUGAAGCUGGAAUCGCUAGUAAUCGCGGAUCAGAAUGUCGCGGUGAAUACGUUCCCGGGUCUUGUACACACCGCCCGUCACACCAUGGGAGUGGGUUUUGCCAGAAGCCGUUAGCCUAACCGCAAGGAGGGCGACGACCACGGCAGGGUUCAUGACUGGGGUGAAGUCGUAACAAGGU